GCUAANUACGUGCCAGCAGCCGCGGUAAUACGUAGGGUGCGAGCGUUAAUNGGAAUUACUGGGCGUAAAGCGGGCGCAGACGGUUACUUAAGCAGGAUGUGAANUCCCCGGGCUCAACCUGGGAACUGCGUUNUGAACUGGGUGACUAGAGUGUGUCAGAGGGAGGUAGAAUUCCACGUGUAGCAGUGAAAUGCGUAGAGAUGUGAAGGAAUACCGAUGGCGAAGGCAGCCUCCUGGGAUAACACUGACGUUCAUGCCCGAAAGCGUGGGUAGCAAACAGGAUUAGAUACCCUGGUAGUCCACGCCCUAAACGAUGUCGAUUAGCUGUUGGGCAGCAUGACUGCUUAGUAGCGAAGCUAACGCGUGAAAUCGACCGCCUGGGGAGUACGGUCGCAAGAUUAAAACUCAAAGGAAUUGACGGGGACCCGCACAAGCGGUGGAUGAUGUGGAUUAAUUCGAUGCAACGCGAAGAACCUUACCUGGUCUUGACAUGUACGGAACCCUCCAGAGACGGAGGGGUGCCUUCGGGAGCCGUAACACAGGUGCUGCAUGGCUGUCGUCAGCUCGUGUCGUGAGAUGUUGGGUUAAGUCCCGCAACGAGCGCAACCCUUGUCAUUAGUUGCCAUCAUUAAGUUGGGCACUCUAAUGAGACUGCCGGUGACAAGCCGGAGGAAGGUGGGGAUGACGUCAAGUCCUCAUGGCCCUUAUGACCAGGGCUUCACACGUCAUACAAUGGUCGGUACAGAGGGUAGCCAAGCCGCGAGGUGGAGCCAAUCUCACAAAACCGAUCGUAGUCCGGAUUGCACUCUGCAACUCGAGUGCAUGAAGUCGGAAUCGCUAGUAAUCGCAGGUCAGUAUACUGCGGUGAAUACGUUCCCGGGUCUUGUACACACCGCCCGUCACACCAUGGGAGUGGGGGAUACCAGAAGUAGGUAGGGUA
rnacentral:rRNA from 1 species